rnacentral:lncRNA from 1 species
CCGUUAUCCCGAAGAGUCGUGGAAGCACAGAGUCGGUGAGUGGAGGAGUGGAGGAGUAAGAGCGUCAGAGAGGCGAAGAGUCAGCGAGUCAGAUCCACAUCCAGAUAUCGCAGCGGAGGUGUAGCUGCUCUCUCGCACUGAAAGUGGAGACGCGCAAAAGGAGAGAGCCAGACAGACAGACAGACAGACACGACGACGGCAAAGUUUUUUCAUUUGAAUCCUAUUAUUUCAACGUAGUUGUAAUCUUAUUAUCCACGAGAUGACAGCAAAAUGACAUUUAGAAAAUUUCACGCUGUGUGAAAUGUACAAAAAAAACAAAAAAGAGAAACGUAAAACACAACGGAAAAGCAAACCAAACCACACCACACCAAGGAGCAGCAGAAGCAGCAGAGCAGAAGGAGCAGAAGAAGGUGGAGGAACACAAGUCGAACCAGAUCCAACACGGGAAUGCAAGAAAGUCAGCCAAGCAAUGCGUAUGGGGGCGGGGGCGUUGAUGUACUGAAGGGAUGGCUCUGGUCUGAGGUUCCUGAUUGGGAUUGCGUACUGCGGUCCGCGACUCCCCCACCCACUCAAACUUGGUAUUAUUAUUUGGGUGGGGCGUGUUUUUCACAAGUUUUCCUGGCUGCUGCUGCCGCCUGUCGCUGCUUUCCUUUUAAUUUCAAUUCUGACAUUUGUUUGUCUGCUGUCAAAAUAAAGUAGCUUUCGCCGCAAAAAGAAAUAAACCUUAAGAUUG